GACUUAGUGGUGUAAUGGUAACACACCAGCUGCGAUUAGGGCCAAGUAGUUGUGUUACGCUGGAGCUCCCUGUUCGACUCGGUGUUGGGUCA